AUUGAACGCUGGCGGCAGGCCUAACACAUGCAAGUCGAGCGGAUGGGAGGAGCUUGCUCCUCGAUUCAGCGGCGGACGGGUGAGUAAUGCCUAGGAAUCUGCCCAGUAGUGGGGGACAACGUUUCGAAAGGAACGCUAAUACCGCAUACGUCCUACGGGAGAAAGUGGGGGAUCUUCGGACCUCACGCUAUUGGAUGAGCCUAGGUCGGAUUAGCUAGUCGGUAGGGUAAAGGCCUACCAAGGCGACGAUCCGUAACUGGUCUGAGAGGAUGAUCAGUCGCACUGGAACUGGGACACGGUCCAGACUCCGACGGGAGGCAGCAGUGGGGAAUAUUGGACAAUGGGCGCAAGCCUGAUCCAGCCAUGCCGCGUGUGUGAAGAAGGCCCUCGGGUCGUAAAGCACUUUAAGUUGGGAGGAAGGGCUUACAGCGAAUACCUGUGAGUUUUGACGUUACCGACAGAAUAAGCACCGGCUAACUUCGUGCCAGCCGCCGCGGUAA
rnacentral:rRNA from 1 species